rnacentral:snRNA from 1 species
GUGCCUGCUUCAGCAGCACAUAUACUAAAAAUUGGAACAAUACACAGAAGAUUAACAUGACCGCCUGUGCAAAGAAGACAUGCAAAUUUAUGAACAUUCCAUAUUUUU